AUUGAACGCUGGCGGCAGGCUUAACACAUGCAAGUCGAGCGGAGAUGAGGUGCUUGCACCUUAUCUUAGCGGCGGACGGGUGAGUAAUGCUUAGGAAUCUGCCUAUUAGUGGGGGACAACAUUCCGAAAGGAAUGCUAAUACCGCAUACGCCCUACGAGGGAAAGCAGGGGAUCUUCGGACCUUGCGCUAAUAGAUGAGCCUAAGUCGGAUUAGCUAGUUGGUGGGGUAAAGGCCUACCAAGGCGACGAUCUGUAGCGGGUCUGAGAGGAUGAUCCGCCACACUGGGACUGAGACACGGCCCAGACUCCUACGGGAGGCAGCAGUGGGGAAUAUAGGACAAUGGGCGGAAGCCUGAUCCAGCCAUGCCGCGUGUGUGAAGAAGGCCUUUUGGUUGUAAAGCACUUUAAGCGAGGAGGAGGCUACCUGGAUUAAUACUCUAGGAUAGUGGACGUUACUCGCAGAAUAAGCACCGGCUAACUCUGUGCCAGCAGCCGCCGUAACAC
rnacentral:rRNA from 1 species